UGAGGAAUAUUGGACAAUGGGCGCAAGCCUGAUCCAGCCAUGCCGCGUGCAGGAUGACGGUCCUAUGGAUUGUAAACUGCUUUUGCACAGGAAGAAACAACAUUACGUGUAAUGUCUUGACGGUACUGUGAGAAUAAGGAUCGGCUAACUCCGUGCCAGCAGCCGCGGUAAUACGGAGGAUCCAAGCGUUAUCCGGAAUCAUUGGGUUUAAAAGGGGUCCGUAGGCGGUUUAGUAAGUCAGUGGUGAAAGCCCAUCGCUCAACGGUGGAACGGCCAAUUGAUACUGCUAGACUUGAAUUAUUAGGAAGUAACUAGAAUAUGUAGUGUAGCGGUGAAAUGCUUAGAGAUUACAUGGAAUACCAAUUGCGAAGGCAGGUUACUACUAAUGGAUUGACGCUGAUGGACGAAAAGCGUGGGUAGCGAAACAGGAUUAGAUACCCUGGUAGUCCACGCCGUAAAACGAU
rnacentral:rRNA from 1 species